rnacentral:rRNA from 1 species
UUAAAGAUUAUAGCAAUAUGAUCGUUGAGCAGUGGCGAAAUGGUGCGUAACACGUGGGUAUUUUCCGUGAGAUUUGGAAUAACGCGCUGAAAGGCGCGCUAAUACCGAAUGCGUUUAAUUGCCUAGCGGCAUUUGAACAAAGCUGGGGACUUUUAGCCUGGCGUCUCACGAUAAGCUUGCGGCCUAUCAGCUAGUUGGCGGGGUAAGAGCCCACCAAGGCAAUGACGGGUAACUGGUCUGAGAGGACGACCAGUCACACUGGAACUGAGACACGGUCCAGACACCUACGGGUGGCAGCAGUCGAGAAUUUUUCACAAUGGGCGAAAGCCUGAUGGAGCGACGCCGCGUGGGGGAUGAAUGGCUUCGGCCCGUAAACCCCUGUCAUUUGCGAUCAAUGUCUAAUUGGAAACACUUUUUAGACUGAUAGUAGCGAAAGAGGAAGGGACGGCUAACUCUGUGCCAGCAGCCGCGGUAAUACAGAGGUCCCAAGCGUUGUUCGGAAUUACUGGGCGUAAAGGGCGCGUAGGCGGUUCGUCAAGUUGCAGGUGAAAUUCCAAGGCUCAACCUUGGCAAGCCUGCAAAACUGGCGGACUAGAGGGUCGUAGGGGAAGUUGGAAUUCUCGGUGUAGCAGUGAAAUGCGUAGAUAUCGAGAGGAACAUCAGUGGCGAAGGCGAACUUCUUGACGAAUCCAGACGCUGAGGCGCGAAAGCCAAGGUAGCAAACGGGAUUAGAUACCCCGGUAGUCUUGGCUGUAAACGGUGCGCACUUGCUGUAAGACGGAUCAUACCGUUUUGUGGCGUAGCUAACGCGAUAAGUGCGCCGCCUGGGGAAUACGGCCGCAAGGCUAAAACUCAAAGAAAUUGACGGGGGCCUGCACAAGCGGUGGAGUAUGUGGCUUAAUUCGAUGCAACGCGAAGAACCUUACCUAGUCUUGACAUCCCGAUAGUAAUUAGUAGAAAUACUAGUGAGGUAGCAAUACCAAGUCGGGACAGGUCUGCAUGGCUGUCGUCAGCUCGUGUCGUGAGAUGUUGGGUUAAGUCCCGCAACGAGCGCAACCCCUGUAACCUGUUGCAACCUUAACUGGGCACUUAGGUUAGACUGCCUCGUUUCAACGAGGAGGAAGGUGGGGAUGACGUCAAGUCAGUAUGGCCCUUACGACUAGGGCUGCACACGUACUACAAUGCGGAAUACAGUUGGGAGCAAACCCGCAAGGGGGAGCAAAUCCAUAAAAUUCCGCCCAGUUCAGAUUGUCGUCUGCAAUUCGACGGCAUGAAGCUGGAAUCGCUAGUAAUGGCGCAUCAGCUACGGCGCCGUGAAUACGUUCCCAGGCCUUGUACACACCGCCCGUCACAUCAUGAAAGCCGGAUGCACCCAAAGCAAUAAUGCCAACCGCAAGGGGGCUAAUUUCCAAGGUGCGCUUGGUGAUUGGGAUGAAGUCGUAACAAGGUA